GAAAUACCCCUUCCGUUCGGAAAUACUUGUCGAAGAGAUGGAUAUAUCUGGACGUAUUUUCAUUCUAGUUACACCUAUGUUUAUGCAUUUCUCCUACAAGUAUUUCCGCACGGAGGAAGUAUAAU
rnacentral:pre_miRNA from 1 species